GGAGGGACCAGCUCAGUGGCAGAGCGCAUGCUUAGCAUGCAUGAGUUCCUGGGUUCAAUCCUCGGUACCUCCA
rnacentral:tRNA from 1 species